rnacentral:lncRNA from 1 species
GGCUCAAAGUUACCCUUUGUCUCAGAAGCCCUGGGCUGGCUCUGACGGCUGGAAAGCCUGAACAACAAUGAUGAAUCAGAGUAUUUAUUUUUGAGGUUUUCUCCAAGCUGCCUCUUCAUCAGCUCUUAAAUAGCAGCAUUCAAGCUGCCACAGACACUUCCAGAAGUUUGCUGGCCUGGGGUUCCUAGUGGGAAAAACUUUGCCUUCUUGGCAACAGAUGCAACAGCUCUCAAAACACCCAGUCUGAAGGAGAGGCACAAGAACCUGAAAUCAUAGAAUCGCAGAGAAAAAGGAGACUCCAGUGUGUCAGUGUCCACCAAGCAGGCUGGCUGGAGGUAAGAGCCCCUGGCCUGAUGGGCAUGGAGGUCAAUAGAUGCUCUACGCAACGCUCAAGAAU